rnacentral:lncRNA from 1 species
UUUAAGCAACGCCACAGAGAAUAGGAAAAAUAAAUUCCUAUAUAAGCAUGCAUAUUAAAAGUAGUAGAAAAAUAAAUUCUACCUACUCCCCCUCAAUAUAUGCAUAAACAUUCACUCCCCCUCAAAACAUGCAUAUCACAUAAAACAUGCUAUACUCCCCCUCAAAACAUGCAUAUCACAUAAAACAUGCUAUACUAGAUGCUAUAGCAUUUUUCAUCACAUCAUGCACGCAAGCACUUUUACUCCCCCUUUUUAGCCAUAAAUUCUGACAAAUAAAGUCAGUACCACACAGUAGGAGCAGAACUUCCACAGAGUUAUCAGAUCAUAGAGAAACAUAGAGUGCAGAGAGAAUCAGAGCAUAGGAACUCAUAAAGUGCAUAUGACAGACCAUCGGGGCAUAGAAAACCUGGAGUAUCGGAGCCAAAAGACAUGGAUUGUACGUGUUACAACCC